UACGGAAGGCAGCAGUGGGGAAUAUUGCACAAUGGGCGAAAGCCUGAUGCAGCUAUGCCGCGUGUAUGAAGAAGGCCUUAGGGUUGUAAAGUACUUUCAUCGGGGAGGAAAAACAAAACUAAUAAUUUUAUUUCUUGACGUUACCCGAAAAAGAAGCACCGGCUAACUCCGUGCCAGCAGCCGCGGUAAUACGGAGGGUGCUAGCGUUAAUCAGAAUUACUGGGCGUAAAGAGCACGUAGGUGGUUUUUUUAAGUCAGAUGUGAAAUCCCUGGGCUUAACCUAGGAACUGCAUUUUGAAACUGAAAUACUAGAGUAUCGUAGAGGGAGGUAGAAUUCUAGGUGUAACGGUGAAAUGCGUAGAUAUCUGGAGGAAUACCUGUGGCGAAAGCGGCCUCCUAAACGAAUACUGACACUGAGGUGCGAAAGCGUGGGGAGCAAACAGGGAUUAGAUACC
rnacentral:rRNA from 1 species